rnacentral:rRNA from 1 species
GAGUUUGAUCCUGGCUCAGAUUGAACGCUGGCGGCAGGCCUAACACAUGCAAGUCGAGCGGUAGAGAGAAGCUUGCUUCUCUUGAGAGCGGCGGACGGGUGAGUAAUGCCUAGGAAUCUGCCUGGUAGUGGGGGAUAACGCUCGGAAACGGACGCUAAUACCGCAUACGUCCUACGGGAGAAAGCAGGGGACCUUCGGGCCUUGCGCUAUCAGAUGAGCCUAGGUCGGAUUAGCUAGUUGGUGAGGUAAUGGCUCACCAAGGCGACGAUCCGUAACUGGUCUGAGAGGAUGAUCAGUCACACUGGAACUGAGACACGGUCCAGACUCCUACGGGAGGCAGCAGUGGGGAAUAUUGGACAAUGGGCGAAAGCCUGAUCCAGCCAUGCCGCGUGUGUGAAGAAGGUCUUCGGAUUGUAAAGCACUUUAAGUUGGAGGAAGGGCAGUAAAUUAAUACUUUGCUGUUUUGACGUUACCGACAGAAUAAGCACCGGCUAACUCUGUGCCAGCACG